rnacentral:rRNA from 1 species
AAAUUGAAGAGUUUGAUCAUGGCUCAGAUUGAACGCUGGCGGCAGGCCUAACACAUGCAAGUCGAACGGUAACAGGAAACAGCUUGCUGUUUCGCUGACGAGUGGCGGACGGGUGAGUAAUGUCUGGGAAACUGCCUGAUGGAGGGGGAUAACUACUGGAAACGGUAGCUAAUACCGCAUAACGUCGCAAGACCAAAGAGGGGGACCUUCGGGCCUCUUGCCAUCGGAUGUGCCCAGAUGGGAUUAGCUUGUUGGUGGGGUAACG